AUUGAACGCUGGCGGCAGGCCUAACACAUGCAAGUCGAGCGGAUGAAGGGAGCUUACUCCUGGAUUCAGCGGCGGACGGGUGAGUAAUGCCUAGGAAUCUGCCUGGUAGUGGGGGAUAACGUCCGGAAACGGGCGCUAAUACCGCAUACGUCCUGAGGGAGAAAGUGGGGGAUCUUCGAACCUCACGCUAUCAGAUGAGCCUAGGUCGGAUUAGCUAGUUGGUGGGGUAAAGGCCUACCAAGGCGACGAUCCGUAACUGGUCUGAGAGGAUGAUCAGUCACACUGGAACUGAGACACGGUCCAGACUCCUACGGGAGGCAGCAGUGGGGAAUAUUGGACAAUGGGCGAAAGCCUGAUCCAGCCAUGCCGCGUGUGUGAAGAAGGUCUUCGGAUUGUAAAGCACUUUAAGUUGGGAGGAAGGGCAGUAAGUUAAUACCUUGCUGUUUUGACGUUACCAACAGAAUAAGCACCGGCUAACUUCGUG
rnacentral:rRNA from 1 species